UCGGGUUGUAAAGCACUUUUGUCCGGAAAGAAAUCCUUGAUCCUAAUAUGGUCGGGGGAUGACGGUACCGGAAGAAUAAGCACCGGCUAACUACGUGCCAGCAGCCGCGGUAAUACGUAGGGUGCGAGCGUUAAUCGGAAUUACUGGGCGUAAAGCGUGCGCAGGCGGUUCGCUAAGACCGAUGUGAAAUCCCCGGGCUUAACCUGGGAACUGCAUUGGUGACUGGCGAGCUAGAGUGUGGCAGAGGGGGGUAGAAUUUCCACGUGUAGCAGUGAAAUGCGUAGAGAUGUGGAGGAAUACCGAUGGCGAAGGCAGCCCCUGGGCUAACACUGACGCUCAUGCACGAAAGCGUGGGGAGCAAACAGGAUUAGAUACCCUGGUAGUCCACGCCCUAAACGAUGUCAACUAGUUGUUGGGGAUUCAUUUCCUUAGUAACGUAGCUAACGCGUGAAGUUGACCGCCUGGGGAGUACGGUCGCAAGAUUAAAACUCAAAGGAAUUGACGGGGACCCGCACAAGCGGUGGAUGAUGUGGAUUAAUUCGAUGCAACGCGAAAAACCUUACCUACCCUUGACAUGGGCGGAAUCUUGCUG
rnacentral:rRNA from 1 species